rnacentral:rRNA from 1 species
AGCGUUAUCCGGAUUAUGGUUUAAAGGGUGCGUAGUGGUUAUUAAGUCAGCGGUGAAAGUUUGUGGCUCAACCAUAAAAUUGCCGUUGAAACUGGUUGACUUGAGUAUAUUUGAGGUAGGCGGAAUGCGUGGUGUAGCGGUGAAAUGCAUAGAUAUCACGCAGAACUCCGAUUGCGAAGGCAGCUUACUAAACUAUAACUGACACUGAAGCACGAAAGCGUGGGGAUCAAACAGG